rnacentral:rRNA from 1 species
AGUCGAGCGAGUCUGCCUUGAAGAUCGGAGUGCUUGCACUCUGUGAAACAAGAUACAGGCUAGCGGCGGACGGGUGAGUAACACGUGGGUAACCUGCCCAAGAGAUCGGGAUAACACCUGGAAACAGAUGCUAAUACCGGAUAACAACAGAUGAUGCCUAUCAACUGUUUAAAAGAUGGUUCUGCUAUCACUCUUGGAUGGACCUGCGGUGCAUUAGCUAGUUGGUAGGGUAACGGCCUACCAAGGCGAUGAUGCAUAGCCGAGUUGAGAGACUGAUCGGCCACAUUGGGACUGAGACACGGCCCAAACUCCUACGGGAGGCAGCAGUAGGGAAUCUUCCACAAUGGACGCAAGUCUGAUGGAGCAACGCCGCGUGAGUGAAGAAGGGUUUCGGCUCGUAAAGCUCUGUUGUUGGUGAAGAAGGACAGGGGUAGUAACUGACCUUUGUUUGACGGUAAUCAAUUAGAAAGUCACGGCUAACUACGUGCCAGCAGCCGCGGUAAUACGUAGGUGGCAAGCGUUGUCCGGAUUUAUUGGGCGUAAAGCGAGUGCAGGCGGCUCGAUAAGUCUGAUGUGAAAGCCUUCGGCUCAACCGGAGAAUUGCAUCAGAAACUGUCGAGCUUGAGUACAGAAGAGGAGAGUGGAACUCCAUGUGUAGCGGUGAAAUGCGUAGAUAUAUGGAAGAACACCGGUGGCGAAGGCGGCUCUCUGGUCUGUUACUGACGCUGAGGCUCGAAAGCAUGGGUAGCGAACAGGAUUAGAUACCCUGGUAGUCCAUGCCGUAAACGAUGAGUGCUAAGUGUUGGGAGGUUUCCGCCUCUCAGUGCUGCAGCUAACGCAUUAAGCACUC